rnacentral:rRNA from 1 species
AGCUCCAAUAGCGUAUAUUAAAGUUGUUGUAGUUUUACUGCUUUGUAGGCUGUGCUUUUGCUGGAGGUUUAGGGGUGCUCUUGAUCGAGUGUCUCUGGAUGCCAGCAGGUUUACUUUGAAAAAAUUAGAGUGCUCAAAGCAGGCUAAAAUGCCUGAAUAUUCGUGCAUGGAAUAAUAGAAUAGGAUGUCGAUCCUAUUUUGUUGGUUUUCGGGACUCGACAUAAUGAUAAAUAGGGACAGUCGGGGGCAUUUGUAUUCAAACGACAGAGGUGAAAUUCUUGGACCGUUUGAAGACAAACUACUGCGAAAGCAUUUGCCAAGAAUGUUUUCA